UACAGAGGGGGCAAGCGUUAUUCGGAAUUAUUGGGCGUAAAGGGCGCGUAGGCGGCUUGGCAAGUGGAUGGUGAAAUCCCUCGGCUUAACCGAGGAACUGCCGUCCAAACUGCUUAGCUUGAGACCGGGAGAGGUGAGUGGAAUUCCCAGUGUAGCGGUGAAAUGCGUAGAUAUUGGGAGGAACACCAGUGGCGAAGGCGGCUCACUGGACCGGAACUGACGCUGAUGCGCGAAAGCGUGGGGAGCAAACAGG
rnacentral:rRNA from 1 species